GUGUCCCGACUUCCGGUUCCGGCAGUACCCGGAGCCGGGUCGAGAUGGAGGAAGAUGCCCGGGUGUGCCGGCGGCUGCCCGGCAUGGAGGCUAGAGUGGGAGCUGUGGCCUAGAGGCCCGGGCUUGGAGUUCGCCUCAGUCGCGGGGGAACCGCCCUGAUCCGAGGAGGUCUUCAGGCGCCAUGGAGGACAAGCGCAACAUCCAGAUCAUCGAGUGGGAACACCUGGACAAGAAGAAGUUCUAUGUGUUUGGUGUAGCAAUGACAAUGAUGAUUCGUGUCAGCGUCUACCCGUUCACCCUCAUCCGCACCCGGCUGCAGGUUCAGAAAGGCAAGAGCCUCUACCAUGGGACUUUUGAUGCCUUCAUCAAGAUCCUGCGAGCAGACGGUGUUACUGGCCUCUACCGGGGGUUCCUGGUCAACACCUUCACCCUCAUCUCUGGCCAGUGCUAUGUCACCACAUAUGAGCUCACCCGGAAAUUUGUCGCUGACUACAGCCAGAGCAACACCGUCAAAUCACUGGUGGCCGGUGGCUCAGCCUCCCUCGUGGCUCAGAGCAUCACAGUGCCCAUUGAUGUGGUGUCCCAGCACCUGAUGAUGCAGCGCAAGGGUGAGAGAAUGGGCCGCUUCCAAGUGCGAGGGAGCCCAGACGGACGAGGGGUAGUUGCCUUUGGCCAAACCAAGGACAUCAUCAGGCAGAUCCUGCGGGCUGAUGGGCUGCGAGGCUUCUACCGAGGCUACGUGGCUUCACUGCUUACCUACAUCCCAAAUAGUGCUGUUUGGUGGCCCUUCUAUCAUUUCUAUGCAGAGCAACUCUCGUACCUCUGUCCUAAAGAGUGCCCGCACAUUGUCUUUCAAGCCGUCUCGGGGCCCCUGGCUGCGGCCACCGCUUCCAUCCUCACCAAUCCCAUGGAUGUCAUCCGAACCCGAGUGCAGGUGGAAGGCAAGAGCUCCAUCACCCUGACCUUCCGACAGCUGAUAGCCGAAGAGGGGCCUUGGGGCCUCAUGAAGGGCCUCUCGGCCAGAAUUAUCUCUGCCACGCCCUCUACCAUUGUCAUCGUGGUUGGCUACGAGAGCCUCAAGAAACUCAGCCUCCGACCUGAGCUGGUGGACUCCAGACACUGCUACCAGAGAUUCACCGACUGUUACAAGCGCCUCUACCAGCUGCAGCCUGAGAUGACACAGAGAAUCUAUGACAAGUUCAUCACUCAGUUGCAGACGUCUGUCCAGGAGGAAAUCUCAGAAAUCAAAGCAGAGGGGAACCUGGAAGCAGUGUUGAACACCUUGGACAGGAUCGUGGAAGAAGGCAAAGACCACACGGAGCUAGCCUGGUGAGAAAGGCACUUGGAGCUGGCUCCGGCCCCUGGAGGCUCCUGCGGGAGACUGCCGCUGACCUCCAGGGUGCAGCCAGCCUAUGGUCUCCUCUGGGCGCCCUAGCGGGAUCCCGGAAGAAGACGUGCGCAGUGCCAUGGUGCCCUACUUCCUGCAGCAGCGGGACGCCUUACAGCGCCGUGUUCACAGGCAGGAGGCUGAAAACAGACAACUGGCAGAGGCUGUCCUGGCUGGGCGCCGGCGGGUGGAGGAGCUACAGCAGCAAGGCCAGGCCCAGCAGCAGGCCUGGCAGGCCCUGCGCAGAGAACAGAAGGAGCUGGUGGGUGUGCUGGGGGAGCCUGAGUGAGGAGACGGUGGCCGGAUCAGGAGCAGAUGGUGGUCAAGGGCCUGGGGGAGCUGCCUCUCAGAACCACCGAGACAUGCCCAGUCCUGAGUGGGGAUGUAACUAGCUGGAGGAUGAGGCCUGAUCAUCCCUCCUGACUUUGGGGCUCCCUUGGGGUCACACGCAUACAGACAUGACCUUCAGAUCCUUGUUUUCUUAUCCUUUUGAGGAUGGUUGGCCAUCUCCCUCCCAUGCUGGGAACCAGGCAGCAGGCUUUCCAUCCUCUAGGCCAGGGCCCCGCCCUUGCCCACUCCAGAGCGCCCCGGGCCUGGCUCAGGGAAUCUGUGUCUGGUCUGCACUGAUUGCCCCCUUGCUGGCCAGCCUGAGGGCCCUUGCCAUGUUCUCCCCACAUCCGUAAAUAAACUUCCUCCACUGUAA